UGAGACACGUUCCAGACUCCUACGGGAGCAGCAGUGGGGAAUAUUGCACAAUGGGCGCAAGCCUGAUGCAGCCAUGCCGCGUGUAUGAAGAAGGCCUUCGGGUUGUAAAGUACUUUCAGCGGGGAGGAAGGGAGUAAAGUUAAUACCUUUGCUCAUUGACGUUACCCGCAGAAGAAGCACCGGCUAACUCCGUGCCAGCAGCCGCGGUAAUACGGAGGGUGCAAGCGUUAAUCGGAAUUACUGGGCGUAAAGCGCACGCAGGCGGUUUGUUAAGUCAGAUGUGAAAUCCCCGGGCUCAACCUGGGAACUGCAUCUGAUACUGGCAAGCUUGAGUCUCGUA
rnacentral:rRNA from 1 species